rnacentral:lncRNA from 1 species
GUGUAAUUAGGGCCUUCUGCCCCAAUUGCCUCCAGGUGGGUGGAUGCUGCUCAGCCCCCGCAGGGCAUGUGGUCUGUCCUGGGCUGGCUGGGCUCCCAGUGCAAGCUGGGUUUUGUGUUUUCUUAGCAUUAACGCAGAAGAGAUUUUCCCGCAGGCUGGCUAACCCUAACCCUAACCCUGGCCUUUUACAUUCGGGUGUGGCUGGAGUUCAGCUCCAGGUCUCAGGCGAGUGCUGGGGCAGGCUGCAGUCUAGGCAGGCCCGGCCUGGCACGGCCCUCGCUCUGGCUGAAGCUGAUGGAACUGCCGCCAUUUCCCAAAGUAAAGGAGGUGAGCUCUGGGGUGGGUGAGGUUUCAUCGGUAGCCCGGCCUCCGUGGAUCGCUGCAUGAGCCGGGAAGGUAAGCCGAGCGGUAGGACGUCCGACGCUUAUCAGCGACUGAGCUGGCCGUGUUUAGGAGGACGGGGUGAUGCCACUGACACUGAGGGAGGCGUGAAGCCUGAGACGCGCCUGUGAGACCGGGACCGGUGGGGCCGGCGCGCGCCCAGAUUCCAGCUCUGCCCCAGGAGCCUGAAGCCCCCAGCAACCUGCAGUGUGGGCUCUGAGAAACUCGGUGAAACAGGGCUUCCCUGCAGGUGGCCAGCGGAUGGGACAAUCAGGGCAGACUUGGAGGUCUCUGAAGUCUUGGAAAGUCUGAAGGGCAGGCCAGCCUGGGAGAUGGAGGACACACUGGAGUGGCAGGUGCCUCGGGCGGCCGGCUGAGCACCAAAGAGGGACUUCUCACACACAGGUCCGCUUGGUCUCCUACACGCUUGCCCACGCGCUCCGUGGAUGCAGGAGCCGUGGUUAUCCUUGGCAGAAGGUUGAGUAGCACCUGCCUUGCCAGGGACCUGCUCCAAGCAGGCACGUCUGGUGAAUGCUGUGCCAGGCCCUUCCGGGAGCAGCCCCUCCCCGGGUGCCGGGGUCACCUGGCUCUGCCUGCCUGCAUGUGGAUCCCUGCGGGGCAGCGGGCACCCGGAUGACGUGGUUUUCCCUCACUGGAUUGGAGUGGAGUGAAUUUAACCCCCUCGUGGCUGCCAUCAUUUUCACUGUGAGGGAAGAGCAGCCGUGCCGUGGUGGUUUUAGAUGUCGUCUGUGGAGGACAUCAGGCUGACAUCCACGUCCUGGACUCCCCCUCGUUUGGUUUCAGAAUUUCUCUUAAAGACAACAUCAUAUUGUGACCCCAAAGCAUUCGAUAGAAAUAUCAAAAUUUUAAGGCACUUUGAGAAUUAAGAUAAAAUAUCUGUAAAUAUUAUGUCAAAUUUCACCA